GCUUAAUGAAGCAGUUUUGGUGUAUAGAACAUGCCCCUGCAGCCUCACUGCUCAAUCCUCUGCCAUUUAGGAGUUAAAUCCCUUUGUUUAUGAACCCUAGUCACACCUCCCUGCAUGUGACUUGCACAGCCUUCCAUAAACACUUCCUGUAAAGAGAGCCCUAUUUAGGCUUUCUUUAUUGCAGGUUCUGUUUAAUUAAGAUUUUCUUAUCCCCUGCUAUGUUAAUAGCUUGCUAGACCCUGCAAGAGCCUCCUGUAUGUGAUUAAAGUUCAAUUUAGAGAUUGAGAUACAAUUAUUUAAGGUAAAUUACAUCUGUUAGAAAGUGAAACCAGUUUUUUUUUCAUGCAGGCUCUGUCAAUCA